rnacentral:rRNA from 1 species
AGGUGCGACCAUACCAGCACUAAUGCACCGGAUCCCAUCAGAACUCCGCAGUUAAGCGUGCUUGGGCGAGAGUAGUACUAGGAUGGGUGACCUCCUGGGAAGUCCUCGUGUUGCACCU